ACUCCUACGGGAGGCAGCAGUGGGGAAUAUUGCACAAUGGGCGAAAGCCUGAUGCAGCAACGCCGCGUGAGGGACGACGGCCUUCGGGUUGUAAACCUCUUUUAGUAGGGAAGAAGCGUAAAAGUGACGGUACCUGCAGAAAAAGCACCGGCUAACUACGUGCCAGCAGCCGCGGUAAUACGUAGGGUGCAAGCGUUGUCCGGAAUUAUUGGGCGUAAAGAGCUCGUAGGCGGUUUGUCGCGUCUGCUGUGAAAACCCGAGGCUCAACCUCGGGCCUGCAGUGGGUACGGGCAGACUAGAGUGCGGUAGGGGAGAUUGGAAUUCCUGGUGUAGCGGUGGAAUGCGCAGAUAUCAGGAGGAACACCAAUGGCGAAGGCAGAUCUCUGGGCCGUAACUGACGCUGAGGAGCGAAAGCAUGGGGAGCGAACAGGAUUAGAUACCCUGGUAGUCCAUGCCGUAAACGUUGGGAACUAGAUGUGGGGACCAUUCCACGGUCUCCGUGUCGCAGCUAACGCAUUAAGUUCCCCGCCUGGGGAGUACGACCGCAAGGCUAAAACUCAAAUGAAUUGACGG
rnacentral:rRNA from 1 species